rnacentral:rRNA from 1 species
UACAGAGACUGCAAGCGUUAUUCGGAUUCACUGGGCGUAAAGGGUGCGCAGGCGGUUGGGUGUGUCAGAUGUGAAAUCCCGAGGCUUAACCUCGGAACUGCGUCUGAAACUACUCGACUAGAGUACUGGAGAGGGAAACGGAAUCCACGGUGUAGCAGUGAAAUGCGUAGAUAUCGUGAGGAACACCAGAGGCGAAGGCGGUUUCCUGGACAGUUACUGACGCUCAGGCACGAAAGCAUGGGGAGCAAAAGGG